rnacentral:rRNA from 1 species
AAACUUAAAUGAAUUGACGGGGGCCCGCACAAGCGGUGGAGCAUGUGGUUUAAUUCGACGCAACGCGAAGAACCUUACCAGGGCUUGACAUCCCCUGACCGCGUAUGAAAGUACGUUUUCACCCUCGGGUGACAGGGAGACAGGUGGUGCAUGGUUGUCGUCAGCUCGUGUCGCGAGAUGCUGGGUUAAGUCCCGCAACGAGCGCAACCCCUAUCUUUAGUUGCCAUCAUUGAGUUGGGCACUCUAAAGAGGCUGCCGGUGUCAAACCGGAGGAAGGUGGGGAUGACGUCAAGUCCUCAUGGCCUUUAUGACCAGGGCUACACACGUACUACAAUGGCCGGUACAAAGGGCAGCGACACAGCGAUGUGAAGCGAAUCCCGAAAAGCCGGUCUCAGUCCGGAUUGGAGUCUGCAGCUCGACUCCAUGAAGUUGGAAUCGCUAGUAAUCGCGGAUCAGCACGCCGCGGUGAAUACGUUCCCGGGCCUU